rnacentral:rRNA from 1 species
CACGUAGGGUGCAAGCGUUGUCCGGAAUUAUUGGGCGUAAAGGGCUCGUAGGCGGUCCGUCACGUCGGGAGUGAAAACUCGGGGCUCAACCCCGAGCCUGCUUUCGAUACGGGCGGACUAGAGUUCGGUAGGGGAGUCUGGAAUUCCUGGUGUAGCGGUGAAAUGCGCAGAUAUCAGGAGGAACACCGGUGGCGAAGGCGGGACUCUGGGCCGAUACUGACGCUGAGGAGCGAAAGCGUGGGGAGCGAACAGG